rnacentral:rRNA from 1 species
UACGGGGGGGGCAAGCGUUGUUCGGAAUUACUGGGCGUAAAGGGCUCGUAGGUGGCCAACUAAGUCAGACGUGAAAUCCCUCGGCUUAACCGGGGAACUGCGUCUGAUACUGGAUGGCUUGAGUUUGGGAGAGGGACGCGGAAUUCCAGGUGUAGCGGUGAAAUGCGUAGAGAUCGGGAAGAACAUCGGUGGCGAAAGCGCUCUACUGGACCGCAACUGACACUCAGGGACGAAAGCUAGGGGAGCGAAUGGG